rnacentral:rRNA from 1 species
AAGGUAGUGUAGUUAAUAGCUGCAUAUUUGACGUUAGCGACAGAAGAAGCACCGGCUAACUCCGUGCCAGCAGCCGCGGUAAUACGGAGGGUGCGAGCGUUAAUCGGAAUUACUGGGCGUAAAGCGCAUGCAGGUGGUUUGUUAAGUUCAGAUGUGAAAGACCCGGGGCGUCAACCUCGGAAUAGCAUUUGAAACUAGGCAGACUAGAGUACUGUAGAGGGGGGUAGGAAGUUUCAGGUGUAGCGGUGAAAUAGCGUAGAGAUCUGAAGGAAUACCGGUGGCGAAGGCGGCCCCCUGGACAGAUACUGACACUCAGAUGCGAAAGCGUGGGGAGCAAACAGGAUUAGAUACCCUGGUAG